rnacentral:rRNA from 1 species
UACGGAGGGAGCUAGCGUUGUUCGGAAUUACUGGGCGUAAAGCGCGCGUAGGCGGUUUUCCAAGUCAGGGGUGAAAGCCCGGGGCUCAACCCCGGAAUAGCCCUUGAAACUGGAAGACUAGAAUCUUGGAGAGGUCAGUGGAAUUCCGAGUGUAGAGGUGAAAUUCGUAGAUAUUCGGAAGAACACCAGUGGCGAAGGCGACUGACUGGACAAGUAUUGACGCUGAGGUGCGAAAGCGUGGGGAGCAAACAGG